UACGUAGGGACCAAGCGUUGUUCGGAUUUACUGGGCGUAAGGGCGCGUAGGCGGCGUGGUAAGUCAGUUGUGAAAUCUCCGAGCUUAACUCGGAACGGCCAACUGAUACUGCUGUGCUAGAGUGCAGAGGGGGCAAUCAGAAUUCUUGGUGUAGCGGUGAAAUGCGUAGAUAUCAAGAGGAAUACCAGAGGUGAAGACGGGUUGCUAGGCUGACACUGACGCUGAGGCGCGAAAGCCAGGGGAGCAAACGGGG
rnacentral:rRNA from 1 species